UACGUAGGGGGCUAGCGUUGUCCGGAUUUAUUGGGCGUAAAGAGCGUGUAGGCGGCCAGGUAGGUCCGGUGUGAAAACUCGAGGCUUAACCUCGAGAUGUCAUCGGAAACCAUCUGGCUAGAGUCCGGAAGAGGAAAGUGGAAUUCCUGGUGUAGCGGUGAAAUGCGCAGAUAUCAGGAAGAACACCAAUGGCGAAAGCAGCUUUCUGGGACGGUACUGACGCUGAGACGCGAAAGCGUGGGGAGCGAGCAGG
rnacentral:rRNA from 1 species